GGUUCCUGGACUACUGCAAGGUAAGUAUAAUGAACAUCUGAUAUGGCGUAUUCCUGAAGUUGUGUCUGAUUUUUGUCUGUUGUGGACGAUCAGCUCAAGGUCCACAGCCUUGCAGCGCUCCAAGCCUGGAUGCAGGUUUUCUUCUCUCGGUGCAGGAAUCAUAUCCUCAUGGAACAAAGAUCAGUUAUUCCUGCAAUGAUGGAUACAAAGCAGAAGGAAGAGGCUGGUGGGGAACAAGCACAUGUUUCAAUGGUUUAUGGUUUGGUAUCCCAGUCUGUAUUAUAAAUCCUCCUACCUGCCGCGAGCCUCCAAGAAUUUCCAAUGCCGCCAUAAUUAAUCAGGAUUUUCAGGACUUAUUUACUCAAGACACAGAAGUGGUGUAUCAGUGUAAGGAUGGAUAUACAACAAAGGAAGGAGCCACCAAGAAAUCUGUCUUCUGUAGAGCUGGAGUUUGGACAGACGUCCCAACAUGUGAUCCUGCCGCUUCAGCCUGUGUGUUGGAUCUGCAAGGACUGAAUAUUGGCGAAACUUCACAGAUCAGCAUAAAGGAUGGAGAGACAAAGGAGAUUGAUUGUACACUGUGGCAGGAUUACUCGAUGUUUGCUAGGUGCUCUAAUGGAAGAAUAGAAGCAACCAAGUGUUGCCACAUCACCGAAAUUAAUCGAAAUCUUUGCAGAUUUUCCAUAACGCCAUAACAUUUCCUGGCUUUGGAUUCAUCCACUGCAAGCAGAGAAUGAAGUGACAUCAGAGAUAUUUCUGACAGAAACACCUGGAAGGAAACUUUUUCUUUUUUGAGUUAAAUUCUGUUGAUUGUUGGUUGACAGUAAAUAUAAAAUGCUUGACUUUGUCUAAAAUAAAAUAUUUCGACAGGA